CCGGAUGUUGGAGAAUGGCAUCUCAUGUUCAGGAACCAGUACGCGGAUCCAGAUUUCAGCGGAGAAAAAGAAUGUGUGAAGUUUUGAACAUUCGGAAUGUAUUCGUUCGAAAACUACACCGCUAAUGUGGAGUUUGUCAUCGGCCAUGAAGGCUUGAUACGUGGGCAGUUCAGCAUGACGCCUUCUGAUUGUUAUACGGCUAGAGACACAGUCACAUAUGUGCGAUACGACAAUAUUACUACCUCGGGAGACUUUCAAGUUCUGUACACUGACUGCAGGUCUUGUUCAAUCCUCCGUC